AUACGGAGGGUGCAAGCGUUAAUCGGAAUUACUGGGCGUAAAGGGCGCGUAGGUGGCUUGAUAAGUCAGAUGUGAAAUCCCUGGGCUUAACCUGGGAAUUGCAUUUGAUACUGUCAGACUAGAGUGUGGUAGAGGUAAGCGGAAUUCCCGGUGUAGCGGUGAAAUGCGUAGAUAUCGGGAAGAACAUCAGUGGCGAAGGCGGCUUACUGGAUCAACACUGACACUGAGGCGCGAAAGCGUGGGUAGCAAACAGGAUUAGAUACCCCUGUAGUCC
rnacentral:rRNA from 1 species